AAGCUGUCUAUGGAACUGGUUUCUGUUUCACCUGGUGAAGAGCAUUGAUGAUGAGCUGCAAUAGAUUGGAUGCCUGAGAGCCACUGAGAACAAAGGAGUGGUUUGUUGCAACACCAGAGAACCAGCAGCAGCACAGACAGACAGUGGAAGGAGCAAGAAAUUAUGAGAUUUUCUUAAAAUCCUAUAUACCAUUGUAAUUAGGAAAUUACACAAACAAGCACAGAGAAGACACAUUUUUAGAAAAGAUUUGAGAGGCCCAAAGAAUCUCUGACUAGAAUAAUUAGUAAAGAUCUUCCCCUGCAUGAAGCCAGUCCUUAUGGCCUGAGAAUUUUAGAUCUUUUUUUCCAAAUAAGUAAAUCCUGGCCAAAAAAAGCAUAUGAAGAAACAGGGAAAUAAGGCUCAAUCAAAAGAAAAAAUAUCUCUAAAAAUUAAUAUUUAAAGAAUGAGAGCUCUGUGAAUUUUCUAAAAAAAUAAUUCAAAAUAUCUUAAAGAAUCUUAAUGAGCUACAAGAUAAAUAGACGGACAACCAAACAAAGCAUGAACAGAAUGAGAGUAUCAAUAAGGAGUUAGAAACUACAAAAAAGAUUCAAACUGAAAUUCUGAAGCUGAAGAAUAGAACAACUUAAUUGAAAACUUUACUAGAGAGUUUCAAAAACACUCUUCAUUUAUUAGAAGAAUCAGUGAACUCAAAGACAAGUUAUUUGAACUUAUUGACCAAGGGGAUCAGAAGGAAAAACAAUAAAGACAGAAAGAAUAAAAAACUUAUAUUAUCCCACCAAGUAAACAAGUAUAUCCAUUAUAAAAGUCCCAGAAGAAAAGAGAUAGGGUCCAGGACUUCUGAUUCGGCCAUCUUGCUGAUGUCACCUUUUCUUUUUUUUCUUUUUUUUUUUUUUUAUAAUGUUUAUGUUCUAUAGGUAUUUUCUUUUUGGUUACCAAGACAAAAGCAAAAGGUGACAUCAGCACAGUGGCAGAAUAGGAAGACCUGGACUUCCUAUUUUCUCCCACAAACACACUGAUUAAGCAACAAUUCAAAAAUCAGCCCACUCUGUGAGUAAUCACAAACGAAUUAAAAGACUCCUGCACCUCAGAAGAAAGCUUAACCAGAUUUGUCGAAGCUAGUAGGGAAAUUCAGGAUACUUUCUAACCAGAAAUCCCUCCCUUGCACAGUGCCAUUGGAUCAAGAACAUAUGCCCUUCCUUCUAGCUUCACCCAAGGGAGAGAAGAGAUUGGUUUGUGUGUUCAGCACUCCACUUCUGCAAGGGGGCUCUCAGCAAACUGGUUGCUGUCCUAUGAAUAUUGGGGCUGUGAUGGGUCUGGCACAGUCCAACCACCCAGGGGAGAAUGUUGGCAACAGUUUAGCCUGGUAGAUGCCAGUGAUUAUACCCCUUGCUCAGCACAUAGCAAGUAGGUUUUAAAAAACAAGCUGAAAGAUUCUCCAUAGGAAAGGAAAGAAUUUAUCCAUGUGUCCAGCACCCUAACUUUUCUCCAUGGAUGCCAAAAUAACUAGCAUUUCUAACCAGUGCUGACUUAAGCAGGCCCAGCACAGUCAAGCUGCUCAGAGAAGUAUGAAAAUGGUGUUUUGGGCUUGUAGACCAUAGCUACCCUCUCUCUGGCUCAACACAGAAUAAAUGGACAAAAAUCACAGCUGCCUAAUUCCUCCUCAGGAGGGAAAGAAUUAUUAUAGGCCACCAUUAUUUUUGGCUGUAUUUGUUGGUGAAAGUGUUCUCUUUUAUAAAACCAGUCCAUGAAGACUGGGAGAGGUGCUUGCUUUGUUAAUAUACAGAAACCAACAUAGAGGGUCAAGAAAAAAUGAAGAAUCAGGUAAAAAUGUUCUAAACAAAGGAACAAGAUAAACAUACAGAAACCAACCUUACAUGAUUUAUCCAAUAGAUAAUUAAAAAUAAUUACAAGAUGCUCAUCAAGGACACAAAAAUAUAGUGAGAAUUUCAACAACGAGAUGGGAAAUCUUAAAAAGUACCAAACAGAAAUCAUGGGCUGAACAACGUACACUGAAAAAUUUACUAGAGAGGUUCCACAGCAGACUAGACCAAGCAAAAGAAAGGAUUAGCAAAUCCAAUGACAGAUCACUGGAAAUAAUUUAGAGGAGCAUAAAGACAAAAAGACUGCAAAAGAGUGAAGAAAACUUACAGGAAUUAUGGGACACCAUCAAGUUGACCAACACACACAUUCUGAAGUCCCAGAAAAAGAAGAAACAAAGAACCAGAAAAGUGACUUAAUGUAAUAAUGACUAAAACUUAUCAAAUCUGUAGAAGUAAGUUCCAGGUCCCAGAAGCCCAGAGACACGAAAUAAGAUGAAUACAUGCACAUCGAAACACAUUAUAAUCAAAUUGUCAAAUGUAAAAGACAAAGUAAGAAUUCUGAAAGCGGCAAGAGAAAAAGAGUGACUUGUCAUAUACAAGGAACUUCCAUGAGACUAUAAAUAGACAUUUCAGCAGAAACUUUUUGGGUUGGAAGGAGUAAAAUAAUAUAUUCAAAGUGCUGAAAGAAAAAAAUGAAACUGAUAAUCAAGAAUACUACAUCUGGAAAAACUCUUCUUUAAAACAAAAAGGGAAGAUAGAGACUUUCACAGAAAAACAAAAGCUGAAGGAGUUCAUCAUCACAAAACCUGCCUUAAAAGAAACGCAAAAGGGAGUCCUUAAGGUUGAAAUGAAAGGAUGCAAAAUAGCAACACAAUAGUAUACGAAAAUAUAAAACUCGUUGGCAAAGGAACUUGCUCUGUCACCCACGACUGGAGUGCAGUGGCAUUAUCAUAGCUCACUGGAGCAUCAAACUCCCAGGCUCAAGGGAUUCUUCUACCUCAGCCUCCCGAGAAGAUUAGGUAUACAUCAGCAUGCCUCCCAAGAGAAAAGGCCAUCUGAGGACACAGUGAUAAGUUGACCAUCUGCAAGCCAGGAAGAGGGCCCUUACCAGACCCUUACCACUCUGGCAGGCUAAUCUUGGAUAUACAGCCUCCAGAACGAUGAUAAAAUAAGAUCUGUUGUUUAAUCCACACAGUCUGAAGUAUUUUGUUAUGGAAGCCUGAGCUAACCAAUGCACAGGUGAUAAUGAAUUUUGUGACAUAUGAAGUCCUUUUUAAACAAAAGCUAUUGUUACUUGUCCUGGAAUCUCUUUGUUUGUGAUUAAACAGCCAUCAGCCGACCAAAGGCUGUGGGUAGUCCAAGUCCAGCUCCCUACAUGGGAAAGCAAAGAGAAUAGCUCAGCUUCAUUUGAGGCAAAUAUGAAGCUGAGCAUUUGCAUCACACAGUUCUAGUUGAUAAAAGUUUUUGAGACUAUUCUCUGCCCUUCCCAUCAUUUUCUAGUGCAUUAGAAGAAUACUUUGGUUAAUAAUAUUUAUUGCCUUCCCUGUCAUCAAGUAAUUUUUUUAUUUCAAUUGCUGAAAAUGGAUUAGUGUCAAGACCCCAGAUUUCAGAAAAUGUCAAAACUUUAACAAAAUGGGACCAGGCGUGGUGGCUUACACCUGUAAUCCCAGUACUUUGAGAGGCCAAGAUGGGCAGAUCACUUGAGGUCAGGAUUUCGAGACCAGCCUGGCCAAUGUGGUGAAACCCCACCACUACUCCAAGUGCAAAAAUUAACCUGUUGUUGUGGCACGUGUCUGUAAUCCCAGGUACUUGGGAGGCUAAGGCAGGAGAAUCUCUUGAGCCCGGGAGGUUGAGGUUGCAGUGAUCCGAGAUCGCGGAACCUCACUACAGCCUGGGUGACAGAGCAAGACUCCAUCUCAAAAAAAAGAAAAGAAAAGAAAAAUGAUAGGAACUCUGCAGCGCAUUCUGUCAAAUAGAGAAAAUAGGUAACUCAUGUCUGCUCUUCACAUGAAUUCACAAUCUCAUUACAAAGAUAAAGUACACAGAGAAAAUGGCGGGUCCAAUGUAUAAGAUGUCACAAAUGAUAGGGCAGAUAAGAGUAUCAGAAGGGAGGAUCAUUGCAGUUAUGUGAAUUCUUCCUGAACUUCUCCUCCCAAUCUCCUAAUUUCCCAUUCUACAAAAUUGUUAAACAUUCCUCUCUGAAUUUCACCUAUUCCCUCCAGACGCUUCUACUUUUUACUCAUAUAAGGCUAUUUUAUGUUUGCUUAAUACAUUUAAUAUAGUAUUAAUAAUUAUAACAUAGCCUUAUACAUUUUAUAUAUAUAUUACAUGUAUAAGCUAUGUUAAUACAUUAGUUUAUAUUGAAAGUGUGCUUAACCAAUUAGAAUACUAAUAGUAUACAUGUAUAAGGCUAUAUUAUUGUUUGUAUAAUAUAUCAGUUUGUAUUGAAAGUGUUUUACCGAUUAGAAUACUAUAAAUUCCUUAAAAUGGAAAUUAAUGUUUUUAAUCUUACAACUUUUUCACACUGAACAUCAUGAAUUAAAAAGUAAAAGCAUAAUAUAAAUAAAAUAGGAGGAGGUCUUGAGGAGUAGGUAAACUUAGGCAUUCAGGGAGAGAGGUCAUUUCAGGGAUGAGGUAAUGGUUUGACUAAUGUAUAAAAGUGGGAGGGAGUGUGGGAAGUAAGACAGCUUCUACAGAAGACAUGUGUUAAAUAGCAUCUGGAUAAGUUGAACAGAAUCAAAUUAAGGAGAGUCUCCUAAACGAUAGCAAAGUAAAGUUAUCAAAUGCAGUUCUUUCAGUUAAGCACAGUGGGAUGAAAGGAUUGAGGUAUCUCUUUUCCUCUCUUUUAUUUUCUAUUUUUAUUUUUUUCCCUAAAUCUAAGGCACCAUAUGACCAGGACAUGACUUUUUGUUUGUUUGAUACAUGUUAAACCAAAAGGGAAAAUAGCAUAAUCAGAUUUAAAUUAUUAAAUGUACCAUACCAAACCACUUUGGACUUUCUUACAAUCAUUUCUAUUAACAGCCCAUUCCCUCCAUCUACAAUUGAGGACAAAGAAGUCUUCAGUGGAGCAGGAUCUCAAUUAUUUGUUAAUAUUUGAUAGCAUCAGAAUGGGUCCUCUCUUAGUCAGUUCAGGCUGCCAUGACAAGUUACCACAGACUUCAAACACAGAAAUAUCAAGAAACACGAGACCUAAGGUUUUAUACACAUGUAAUUUUGACCAAACAGUAUUUACAAUAACUCAUUAGACUGGGAAAUGAGAUAUGCUAUUUCACAGUAUGCCACUACACAAGAUUAAGUUGGGGGGUGAAUACAGCAUCAUUUUUACAUUUGCUUAUUUGUUACAGAAUAAUUUAUAAUACAAUAUGUGCUAUUAAUAUUACAUGACUUUUUUUUC
rnacentral:lncRNA from 10 species